rnacentral:rRNA from 1 species
UAGGGAAUAUUGGACAAUGGGGGCAACCCUGAUCCAGCCAUGCCGCGUGAGUGAAGAAGGCCCUCGGGUUGUAAAGCUCUUUUGUCCGGAAAGAAAAGCUUCGGGUUAAUACCCCGGGGUUCUGACGGUACCGGAAGAAUAAGCACCGGCUAACUUCGUGCCAGCAGCCGCGGUAAUACGAAGGGUGCAAGCGUUACUCGGAAUUACUGGGCGUAAUGCGUGCGUAGGUGGUUGUUUAAGUCUGAUGUGAAAGCCCUGGGCUCAACCUGGGAAUGGCAUUGGAAACUGGGCAGCUAGAGUGCGGUAGAGNGUAGUGGAAUUCCCGGUGUAGCAGUGAAAUGCGUAGAGAUCGGGAGGAACAUCUGUGGCGAAGGCGACUGCCUGGACCAGCACUGACACUGAGGCACGAAAGCGUGGGGAGCAAACA